AGAGAGAGAGAGAGAGAGAGAGAGAGAGAGAGAGAGAGAGAGUGUGAUCAGUGCUCAUGCAGGAUUGCUAAGAAAAUCAUCUCUUGUCUUUUUUCUACCAUUAUGGCAUUUCUUGUCAGCUGCCAUUCUGGAAUGAGCUUCAUAACUGAAUGUCUUGAUUGCACUUUGAAACAGCCAAGUAUUCUUGAGUCACACGGAUCUCUGAAAAGUGGUUCCGUUUUUUCAAAAAGUUUGCACAACAGCAUCUGGGAACCUGAAUCAUCCAAUUCUUCUCUCUCUUCGAUGGCCUCGCAACAAUGUCCUUCAGCAAGAAUGAAGGCAUUGUUAGGCCUUUUGAUUUUGGACAUGGAAGCCUCCACAGACAGUGGGGAAUUCGACAUUUCCCCCAGCCGUUUGACCACUUGACUCUUUACAGUAGCUGUUGUGGUCCACUGCCAGAGUAGGGCAGAGCAGAAGACCCAAGGCAACACUGAACGCCAUGAAAUGUUCAUACAACUGGUCCGCUAGAAUUCCCUUCAGCACAAUCUAGCCAGUGUAUACAGCAAACUGACGCAGUUCUGUUGCCUUCCACCUGUCGAUGUCUUCUAGGUUCCUUGGUUUUCGGGCAAAACAGCUUGGAAUGACUUCCCUAAGUGACAGCAGCCUUUGAGUCACUUCAUUUAUUUGCCCAGCAGACAUUGUCACCUUUCUGUCUCCUCUAACCCAAUCUGUGAUGAGCUUUUUCAUCACACCCAGGCAGGCUUGGUGCAUGUAGUCGAUUGGAAAUUGCUCUACCAUGUCCAGUGGGAGGUUCAAAAAUGGAGACAUUGGAAUGUCUUCAUUCUCCUGACGUCGUGUCAUUUCAGCACGGUAUGUGGCAUUGGUCUGUAGACUUUUUUUUACCAUGGCUCUUGCAGGUGCGUCACACACAACACAUCUGAUUUUUAUGUCUUUUCCAUCCAAACCAUUUUCAAGUAGUUCCUGAAUGUCUUUUAUGGCUUCUUCUGUAAAAUCCUGGUUUGGUGGGACCAAUUGUCAGUGUUACAGGGAAGACACUGAUGGGUGACAGGUGAAUGGCACAGAGGAUGGGCCAUGACGUCUUGUCAUGUGUCAUUGGUGCAUAGAGUGAGGUUGUUCACCUCUGGGUAAGUCACAUGCCCAGAAAGGAAGCACCAUAACAGCAUCAUAUAAUUAAUUACAAGUGACCAUCAGAUUUUUACAUCACUU